GAUGAACGCUGGCGGCGUGCCUAACACAUGCAAGUCGAACGGAGAUUACGGACGGAAGUUUUCGGAUGGAAGACUGUAAUUCUUAGUGGCGGACGGGUGAGUAACGCGUGGGCAACCUGCCCUAUACAGGGGGAUAGCAGCUGGAAACGGCUGGUAAGACCGCAUAAGUCGGCGAGACCGCAUGGUUUUGCCGGGAAAUGAGCAAUCAGGUAUAGGAUGGGCCCGCGUCCGAUUAGCCAGUUGGCAGGGUAAAAGCCUACCAAAGCGACGAUCGGUAGCCGGACUGAGAGGUCGGACGGCCACAUUGGGACUGAGACACGGCCCAAACUCCUACGGGAGGCAGCAGUGGGGGAUAUUGCACAAUGGAGGAAACUCUGAUGCAGCGACGCCGCGUGAGUGAAGAAGUAUUUCGGUAUGUAAAGCUCUAUCAGCAGGGAAGAUGAUGACGGUACCUGACGAAGAAGCCCCGGCUAACUACGUG
rnacentral:rRNA from 1 species